AGAGAAUUGCUUAAAAACCCUAGAGGUGGAGCUGGCAGUGAGCCAAGAUCGCACCACUGCACUCCAGCCUGGGUGACAGAG
rnacentral:snRNA from 1 species